rnacentral:rRNA from 1 species
UACGGAGGGGGCUAGCGUUGUUCGGAAUUACUGGGCGUAAAGCGCGCGUAGGCGGACCUGCAAGUCGGGGGUGAAAGCCCGAGGCUCAACCUCGGAACUGCCUUCGAUACUGCGGGUCUCGAGUCCGGGAGAGGUGAGUGGAAUUCCUAGUGUAGAGGUGAAAUUCGUAGAUAUUAGGAAGAACACCAGUGGCGAAGGCGGCUCACUUGCCCGGUACUGACGCUGAGGCGCGAAAGCGUGGGGAGCAAACAGG